CAACGCCGCGUGAGUGAUGAAGGUUUUCGGAUCGUAAAGCUCUGUUGUUAGGGAAGAACAAGUAUCGGAGUAACUGCCGGUACCUUGACGGUACCUAACCAGAAAGCCACGGCUAACUACGUGCCAGCAGCCGCGGUAAUACGUAGGUGACAAGCGUUGUCCGGAAUUAUUGGGCGUAAAGCGCGCGCAGGCGGUCCUUUAAGUCUGAUGUGAAAGCCCACGGCUCAACCGUGGAGGGUCAUUGGAAACUGGGGGACUUGAGUACAGAAGAGGAAAGUGGAAUUCCACGUGUAGCGGUGAAAUGCGUAGAGAUGUGGAGGAACACCAGUGGCGAAGGCGACUUUCUGGUCUGUAACUGACGCUGAGGCGCGAAAGCGUGGGGAGCAAACAGGAUUAGAUACCCUGGUAGUCCACGCCGUAAACGAUGAGUGCUAAGUGUUAGAGGGUUUCCGCCCUUUAGUGCUGCAGCAAACGCAUUAAGCACUCCGCCUGGGGAGUACGGUCGCAAGACUG
rnacentral:rRNA from 1 species